AGUGAACGCUGGCGGUAGGCCUAACACAUGCAAGUCGAACGGCAGCACAGUAAGAGCUAGCUCUUACGGGUGGCGAGUGGCGGACGGGUGAGGAAUACAUCGGAAUCUACUUUUUCGUGGGGGAUAACGUAGGGAAACUUACGCUAAUACCGCAUACGACCUACGGGUGAAAGCAGGGGAUCUUCGGACCUUGCGCGAUUGAAUGAGCCGAUGUCGGAUUAGCUAGUUGGCGGGGUAAAGGCCCACCAAGGCGACGAUCCGUAGCUGGUCUGAGAGGAUGAUCAGCCACACUGGAACUGAGACACGGCCCAGACUCCUACGGGAGGCAGCAGUGGGGAAUAUUGGACAAUGGGCGCAAGCCUGAUCCAGCCAUACCGCGUGGGUGAAGAAGGCCUUCGGGUUGUAAAGCCCUUUUGUUGGGAAAGAAAAGCAGCAGGUUAAUACCCCGCUGUUCUGACGGUACCCAAAGAAUAAGCACCGGCUAACUUCGUG
rnacentral:rRNA from 1 species